AGAUCCUGAUUUGUUCAAGAAGCAGGUGGUGGAUGUGCCCAAGACACAGGGAAGAAAAAGAAGUAAACAGGGAAGUACAACACAGACUCUGAAAUGGGGCAUCAUGGAAGACGGAGCUUUGUCGUCUUGGUCUUUGCUGUAUAUUCACUUCCUACAACAGUGCUAAAUACCUUGUGGAUGCUUAAAUAUAUUAAAUGAAUGCAUAAAUGAAAAGAGUAAAUAAAGAGUGUAUAUGAAAGUAUGUAGAUAAAAUUCUUCACUAAGCCUUGGGGAUCCAGCUGCUUAAGGACUAAGACCGUAUCUAGCUCCUUUUAGUAUUUCCACAGCAUGCCAUGGAGAUACAUGUUUCUGAUUAUAUAUGAUACAUGGAAAUUAUAUGUUGUUGAAUGAGUGAUUGAGUAAAUGUGUACUAGGGCAGCUAAUCAUAAAUAUUUCUACUAUUGCUAAAAUGACUGGAUUUAUCCAUUCCUUCUGAGAGUUUAUACUGAUUGCUUAUAUUGUAUCAAAUACCGUAACUGAGGGCAAUGUUUACUCAAACUAAUAGCACCAUUCAAAUUUAUGCAAACAAUAACACUAUAUCUUUAAAAUGUUUUCACUAAAAGCUGCAUAAAGAGUGUAUUCAACAACAAUAGAAUAAUUUUACAAUCUUUUUUCUUGCUUAAUGGCCAUUUGUGCCUUCUGACAUGCUGCUAGCCAUUCAAAGGUCACACUACCUUGAAGUUGAAGAUCAAGACAAAUGAUUAGACUCAUAAAAGACAAAUCACGUCUUUCUGGACAG
rnacentral:lncRNA from 10 species